GGUCCCAUGUGGCUCAGCUGGUAAAGUGUGGCGCUUUCAACGCCAGGGUUGUGGGUUUGAUUCCCACGCGGGGACCA